GAUGAACGCUGGCGGCGUGCCUAAUACAUGCAAGUCGAGCGAACGGACGAGAAGCUUGCUUUUCUGAUGUUAGCGGCGGACGGGUGGGUAACACGUGGAUAACCUACCUAUAAGACUGGGAUAACUUCGGGAAACCGGAGCUAAUACCGGAUAAUAUUUUGAACCGCAUGGUUCAAAAGUGAAAGACGGUCUUGCUGUCACUUAUAGAUGGAUCCGCGCUGCAUUAGCUAGUUGGUAAGGUAACGGCUUACCAAGGCAACGAUGCAUAGCCGACCUGAGAGGGUGAGCGGCCACACUGGAACUGAGACACGGAGCCGACUAGUACGGGAGGCAGCAGGAGGGAAUCUGCCGCAAUGGGCGAAAGCCUGACGGAGCAAGGCGGAGUGAGUGAUGAAGGUCUUCGGAUCGUAAAAAUCUGUUAUUAGGGAAGAAAAAAUGUGUAAGUAACUAUGCACGUCUUGACGGUACCUAAUAAGAAAGCCACGGCUAACUACGUG
rnacentral:rRNA from 1 species